ACCCUCCCCUACAGAAAACCUGACAGCACAGCCCCUCACCAUGGACUGGAGCUGGAGAGCCCUCUUCCUGGUGGCAGUGGCUACAGGUGUCCACUCCCAGGUGCAGCUGGUACAGUCUGGGGCUGAGGUGAGGAAGCCUGGGGCCUCAGUGAAGAUCCCCUGCAAGGCUUCUGGAUACACCUUCACCAGCUAUAGUAUGAACUGGGUACAGCAGGCCCCAGCAGGAGCUCUUCAAUAUGUGGGUUGGAUCAACACAGAAACUGGGAAGCCCACAUAUGCUCAGGGCUUCUCAGAACGCUUUGUGUUCUCCAUGGACGCCUCUGUCAGCACUGCCUAUAUGCAGAUCAAUGGCCUGAAGUCUGAGGACACAGCUGUGUAUUACUGUGCAAGAGACACAGUGUGA